rnacentral:rRNA from 1 species
UGGGGAAUCUUGCGCAAUGGGCGAAAGCCUGACGCAGCGACGCCGCGUGCGGGAAGAAGGCCUUCGGGUUGUAAACCGCUUUCAGGGGGGAAGAAGCGAGAGUGACGGUACCCUCAGAAGAAGCCCCGGCCAACUACGUGCCAGCAGCCGCGGUAAUACGUAGGGGGCAAGCGUUGUCCGGAAUUAUUGGGCGUAAAGAGCUCGUAGGCGGUCCAUUAAGUCAGAUGUGAAAUCUCAGGGCUCAACCCUGAGCCUGCAUCUGAUACUGGUGGACUUGAGGCAGGUAGGGGAAGGUGGAAUUCCUGGUGUAGCGGUGAAAUGCGCAGAUAUCAGGAGGAACACCAGUGGCGAAGGCGGCCUUCUGGGCCUGUUCUGACGCUGAGGAGCGAAAGCGUGGGGAGCGAACAGG